GGCCUGCGCGGAAGAUGUAACGGGGCUAAACCAUGCACCGAAGCUGCGGCAGCGACGCUUAUGCGUUGUUGGGUAGGGGAGCGUUCUGUAAGCCUGCGAAGGUGGCCUGUGAGGGUUGCUGGAGGUAUCAGAAGUGCGAAUGCUGACAUAAGUAACGAUAAAGCGGGUGAAAAGCCCGCUCGCCGGAAGACCAAGGGUUCCUGUCCAACGUUAAUCGGGGCAGGGUGAGUCGACCCCUAAGGCGAGGCCGAAAGGCGUAGUCGAUGGGAAACGGGUUAAUAUUCCCGUACUUGGUGUUACUGCGAAGGGGGGACGGAGAAGGCUAUGUUGGCCGGGCGACGGUUGUCCCGGUUUAAGCGUGUAGGUGUGUGUUCCAGGUAAAUCCGGUUCACUUUAACACUGAGGCGUGACGACGAGGCACUACGGUGCUGAAGCAACAAAUGCCCUGCUUCCAGGAAAAGCCUCUAAGCAUCAGGUAACAUCAAAUCGUACCCCAAACCGACACAGGUGGUCAGGUAGAGAAUACCAAGGCGCUUGAGAGAACUCGGGUGAAGGAACUAGGCAAAAUGGUGCCGUAACUUCGGGAGAAGGCACGCUGACAUGUAGGUGAAGUGAUUUACUCAUGGAGCUGAAGUCAGUCGAAGAUACCAGCUGGCUGCAACUGUUUAUUAAAAACACAGCACUGUGCAAACACGAAAGUGGACGUAUACGGUGUGACGCCUGCCCGGUGCCGGAAGGUUAAUUGAUGGGGUCAGCGCAAGCGAAGCUCCUGAUCGAAGCCCCGGUAAACGGCGGCCGUAACUAUAACGGUCCUAAGGUAGCGAAAUUCCUUGUCGGGUAAGUUCCGACCUGCACGAAUGGCGUAAUGAUGGCCAGGCUGUCUCCACCCGAGACUCAGUGAAAUUGAACUCGCUGUGAAGAUGCAGUGUACCCGCGGCAAGACGGAAAGACCCCGUGAACCUUUACUAUAGCUUGACACUGAACAUUGAGCCUUGAUGUGUAGGAUAGGUGGGAGGCUUUGAAGUGUGGACGCCAGUCUGCAUGGAGCCGACCUUGAAAUACCACCCUUUAAUGUUUGAUGUUCUAACGUGGACCCGUUACCCGGGUUGCGGACAGUGUCUGGUGGGUAGUUUGACUGGGGCGGUCUCCUCCUAAAGAGUAACGGAGGAGCACGAAGGUUGGCUAAUCCUGGUCGGACAUCAGGAGGUUAGUGCAAUGGCAUAAGCCAGCUUGACUGCGAGCGUGACGGCGCGAGCAGGUGCGAAAGCAGGUCAUAGUGAUCCGGUGGUUCUGAAUGGAAGGGCCAUCGCUCAACGGAUAAAAGGUACUCCGGGGAUAACAGGCUGAUACCGCCCAAGAGUUCAUAUCGACGGCGGUGUUUGGCACCUCGAUGUCGGCUCAUCACAUCCUGGGGCUGAAGUAGGUCCCAAGGGUAUGGCUGUUCGCCAUUUAAAGUGGUACGCGAGCUGGGUUUAGAACGUCGUGAGACAGUUCGGUCCCUAUCUGCCGUGGGCGCUGGAGAACUGAGGGGGGCUGCUCCUAGUACGAGAGGACCGGAGUGGACGCAUCACUGGUGUUCGGGUUGUCAUGCCAAUGGCACUGCCCGGUAGCUAAAUGCGGAAGAGAUAAGUGCUGAAAGCAUCUAAGCACGAAACUUGCCCCGAGAUGAGUUCUCCCUGAGACUUAGAGUCUCCUGAAGGAACGUUGAAGACGACGACGUUGAUAGGCCGGGUGUGUAAGCGCAGCGAUGCGUUGAGCUAACCGGUACUAAUGAACCGUGAGGCUUAACC
rnacentral:rRNA from 1 species